ACGUGCGGUUAUGAAAACGUCGCCACCUCGCUCGUUGUGAAGGGCAGCCAAUCAAAGAGCGCCCCACAUCCACACACGCGCACAAACCAUCCUACACCCACACGCACACCCCUUCGAUGGCGGCGCCCCAUCUGUUCCUUUGCCUUUUCCCAUCUGUAUUUUUGUUGUUACUGUUGUUCUUCUCCCGUUCACUCAGCACGACGCAGAUUGGCUUGUGCAGCGCGUGUGACAGAAAGACACGCCGGUAAGAAAACACGCAUACGCCUGACGCGUGCAGCGUGAGGUGCCGUCAGUCACUCUACCGUCGCACACACACACACACACACGAGAGAGAGAGAUAGAGGGAGGGAGCCUGCGGCCAAUUGCUUCGGCAGAGGCCCACUUCCAAAAGGAGUGUUUGUCUGCGUGCUCCAGUCGUGCCGGCACAUCGCUGUGCGAGCCGGUCGCACGAACUUCCAAGAUGCAAGCAGGCAGGCGAAAGUUCGUUGCAGAGAGCAUCGCCGCGUACAGGGCGUCCCAGGGGACGUCAAACGACAAGGAGGUCGUCGAUGACCUCCGAUGGCGCGUGGUCGACCUUUGCUCCCGGUGCGUCAACAAGGUGGAGCUGCAGCUUUUCGGCUCGCUCGCCACGGGGUUCUGCACCACCGGCGCCGACGCCGAUCUGUCCCUUACAUUCCGUAACUUUUCGCCGUGGCUGAGCGGGAUAGAGGUGGUGGAUGCGCAAAACUUCAAGCGGCUCGCACGCGUGGGGCGCGAAGCUGGCGAAAUGGGGAUGGAAAACGUUCGCCUCAUCAACGCCCGCAUCCCUGUGUUGCAGUUCCAGGACGCAAUCAGCGGAAUUCGGUGUGACCUCACGAUCGGCAACCUCGGUGGGGUGGCAAACUCCAAGAUACUCGCGGAGAUCCACCGCGUGCUUCCUGACUUUUACGGCGCCUACGUGUACCUCGUCAAGGAAUGGGCGAAAAAGUGCGAGGUGGUGGCGCCGGACAAGUCGAUGUUCAACAGCUUCACCAUGACGACCAUGUCCUUGAUGGUGCUCCAGGAGCUGGGGUUGCUGCCCAUCUUUGUGCCGACUGGCACGUACGGCGAGCUCACUUUGCCCGAUGUCCGAAACGCGCUCGACACUUUCCAGCUGCCACCCGUGUAUGAGGGGAUCGGGCAGGACGAUGAGCGCCUCGGCGAGGCCGUCUACUUCUGUCUUUUGCGUUUUGCAGAGUACUACUCCAAGUUCGACUUUAGGAACGGCACCGUGAGCCUCAUGUGCCCGCGCCGACAUCGCUCUCUCUACGCCCAGAUUGUGAAGCAGCACAUUGAACUCCUCGGCGAGCGGAAGCGGAAAGAGUGGAGCGCCUACCUGCUCGGCGACCGCGCGGCGUCCACCUCUUCUAGUCGCUUUCCCCAGGUGUCCUUCGAGGAGUCGAUGCGCCACGAGGCUCUUCAGCGGCAGGCGGACACCGCCUUCGUUGUGGAGGACUUCGUGAACUACGUCAACUGUGGUCGGCGUGUGCCACCCGGACGGUGCUCAAAGAUUCACCUGGAGUUCAAGCGCCUGUACGAGCAGCUGCGCGACGAGGCGAACGUCUCCUUCCGUGACGUGUUUCACGAGACGCACGCGAUUCCGCUCACCCACAAGCCGAAUCGACCAGACUCGCGCGUGGAGACCUUCGAGACGAAGCAAUAGUCGAGGAAGGCGCGCGCGCCUCUUCCGACGACUGGCUCACACAGAUGCCGGAAAAGGAAAGCUGGAACAGGAAUGGCAGUGAUGUUGGUCAUUGCACAUCAAUGAUGGAUGUCGCGGGUUGCUCAUGGCCGUCGGCCUCUUUGAGGAGGGCCCAUGCCGCAAAAAAAGAAUGUGGUUUGCCUUGCCCCGCGCACACGGGCAGUCGUGUGUGUGUGUGUGUGUGUGUGUGUGUGUGUGUGCCUGUGUGCGUGCCUGUGUUGGGGUGGGCCGGUACACUUGACACGGAAGGCAUUCAUACCUGGGUUUGCGUGCGAGCGGGGGCCACCCACUCACACGCCCGCCGCUGCUGAAUCAGUCAAGGUGUGGAACGUCAUCUCGGGCGUGCUUUUCAUGGGCAGCGUUACGACGAUAUGUUCGCGCGACCUUCCCCGACCCCGCCCUCGGGGUGCUCGUCGUUGCCUUUGUCACAAAUGCAUGCUGCUCUCGACUGCACAGGUCCAGUGGUGAUGUGACGCCGUUGGCCAUCGUCAUCGGUUUUCGAUUUCGAAGCUUCCUACCCCGCAGGUACACUCCAAGCCUUCUGUCUCCAUCGAUCGCUCUCGCUCUCCUCGAUGCACUGCCCCCUCUACCCCCUCCCUCAUCCUCUUCCCCACCCGCUCCCCUCGGCCACUUGCCCGCGCGUCUGUGUCCACAAUGAAG
rnacentral:misc_RNA from 1 species